AGUGAACGCUGGCGGUAGGCCUAACACAUGCAAGUCGAACGGCAGCACAGGAGAGCUUGCUCUCUGGGUGGCGAGUGGCGGACGGGUGAGGAAUACAUCGGAAUCUACUCUGUCGUGGGGGAUAACGUAGGGAAACUUACGCUAAUACCGCAUACGACCUACGGGUGAAAGCAGGGGAUCUUCGGACCUUGCGCGAUUGAAUGAGCCGAUGUCGGAUUAGCUAGUUGGCGGGGUAAAGGCCCACCAAGGCGACGAUCCGUAGCUGGUCUGAGAGGAUGAUCAGCCACACUGGACCUGAGACACGGUCCAGACUCCUACGGGAGGCAGCAGUGGGGAAUAUUGGACAAUGGGCGCAAGCCUGAUCCAGCCAUACCGCGUGGGUGAAGAAGGCCUUCGUGUUGUAAAGCCCUUUUGUUGGGAAAGAAAUCCAGCUGGCUAAUACCCGGUUGGGAUGACGGUACCCAAAGAAUAAGCACCGGCUAACUUCGUGCCAGCCGCCGCCGUAA
rnacentral:rRNA from 1 species